AGAAGAUGUAUGGACCCUUCUUUCAGGAGACCUACGUCUUUGAAGUCAAAGCAAGCAAGGCAAGCCUUUGGGGCUCUAGUAUUAACUAUCCCCAAAGGUGUUUAUUCUUCUCGUGUAAACCAUGAUGUACGAAAAAGUUAGUUGUUAACUUAAAAACAACUCUUGGCAAUGGAUCUCUUGGUUCUCGCAUCGAUGAAGAGCGUAGCAAAGUGCGAUAAUUAUUGCGACUUGCAUUCAUAGCGAAUCAUCGAGUUCUCGAACGCAUCUUGCGCCUAGUAGUCAAUCUACUAGGCACAGUUGUUUCAGUAUCUGCAACUACCAAUCAGUUCAACUUGGUUCUUUGAACCUAAGCGAGCUGGAAAUGGGCUUGUGUUGAUGGCAUUCAGUUGCUGUCAUGGCCUUAAAUACAUUUAGUCCUAGGCAAUUGGCUUUAGUCAUUUGCCGGAUGUAGACUCUAGAGUGCCUGAAGAGCAACGACUUGG
rnacentral:rRNA from 1 species